rnacentral:antisense_RNA from 1 species
CCCAAGUGUAGCUGGGACUACAGGCACACGCCACCAUGCCCAGCUCAUUUUUUUUUUAAUGUAGAGAUAAGAGUCUCACUAUGUUGCCCAGGUUGAUCUCAAACUCCUGGUCUCAAGAGAUCCUCCCACCUCGGCCUCCCAGAGUCAGAACCCAGAUCCUGGAGCUCUUCUUUUCUUCAUCUAUACCACUGCUUCCUUGCAGACACCGGGUUUUGCCAUGUUGAGCAGGCUGGUCUCAAACUCCCAACCUCAAGUGAUCCACCUGCCUUGGCCUCCGCCUCCCAAAGUGCUGGGAUUACAGGUGUGAGCCACCAUGCCCAGCCUAAAAGAUAAGAGAUCAAGAUAUACAAAUUAGUCUUUGAAAGAUCUUUCACCUUGUUCAAAGUUAAGAUCCUGUGAACACCAGAAUUGUUCCGUGGCCUCUUCACUAUUGAUUGCAACAGUAUCAUUUACCUGAAACUACACAGUGACCACAAAAACCAUGUCCAGGACACCAAAUUUCUACUGCGAACUCUAGGUCCUCACGAGCCUUUCUCUGCGAGUCCAAAAUUCAGCCACAUUUCCUAAGAGGCACCUGUACUUGUCUAUUUCAAUGCAGCCAGAAGCUGACAACGGCCCAGGAACCAGGACUGCUUUCAGGAGGCGCUCAGAAGGGCAGCAAAGUACCCUCUCAACAUUAGUAAAAUGAAACAAAAGUGUC